AUGCGUGUGUGUGUGUGUGUGUGUGUGUUAGCGUGCGUCUGGACCAGUGCGCCCGCGGGUCACUCCAGAGAUGAAACAGAUAAGGGAUCUGAUCCAGAGGAGAAACAGAGGAAGUCAGAGGGGAGUUGGCUUUCAUACAUCUUAGUGAAACAGGUCAGUAAGUGACUCAGUCCUUUAUAUUCUCCUGUUCCUAGAACAUCCUUCAUUUUUACUCAUGAUAGGGUGUUACUUUAACUACGAUCCAAAUUUAAAUUUUUGUUAGAUGAAGGUCACAUUAAACAUCUCUAUUUAUGCAUUAUGCAGACACUUUUAUUCAAAGUCAAUUACAUUGCAAUGAUGCAGUAAAGGUACUGUAUAUAUAUAUAUAUAUAUCAAUUCAGUCAGUCCUUGGGAACUGAACCAGUGAACUACUGAACAGUGAGAUCAUCAGGAAUACUGUUUUGGAAACUUUUCACCAGAUCUUCAUCAUUUAUUUUUGCUUCUCUUUAAGUAAAGAUAUUUCAGUGUUUUCUCCAGAUUUUGAUUAUUUUCUCCCAGAUUCUAACUUUCAAUAUUUAAC
ensembl:lncRNA